UCAAUUAGUACAAAGGUCCAAAUCAUUCCU
rnacentral:piRNA from 1 species